rnacentral:rRNA from 1 species
UAGGGAAUAUUGGUCAAUGGGGGCAACCCUGAACCAGCCAUGCCGCGUGCAGGAUUAAGGCCCUAUGGGUCGUAAACUGCUUUUGUACGGGAAGAAAUCACGCUACGUGUAGCGUGUUGACGGUACCGUGAGAAUAAGGAUCGGCUAACUUCGUG